GUGUCAGCAGCCGCGGUAAUACCGGCAGCUCAAGUGAUGACCGAUUUUAUUGGGCCUAAAGCGUCCGUAGCUGGCCGCGCAAGUCUGUCGGGAAAUCCACCCGCUUAACGGGUGGGCGUCCGGCGGAAACUGUGCGGCUUGGGACAGGAAGGCUCGAGGGGUACGUUCGGGGUAGGAGUGAAAUCCCGUAAUCCUGAACGGACCACCGAUGGCGAAAGCACCUCGAGAGGACUGAUCCGACAGUGAGGGACGAAAGCUGGGGUCUCGAACCGGAUUAGAAACC
rnacentral:rRNA from 1 species